GUCUAUGCCAGAGAUCAAGGAAGGCAUUUUGACGUCACAUGAUUUGGUUCCAGUCCGCGUGCGUGGCCGCCACACAGGACCGCAUGCAAACCAUGAAGCCGCAAACAGAAGUCCGUUAAUUGAUGUUGCUAGUGCUAAUGGCGGUGAAACUCAAAUAAAUAAAUACAUAGAAAGUAAACAGCCAAAACAACUGUGCAGUCGAAAGGCCGUCAUAGUUUGUCAGUUAAACCGAAGCUUGUCUACAAACGUUACACUGAGCCUGGAGGACUGUUUGAGAGGAGAGGGAGAUUCAUACUUAUGCAGCCUAUGGAAGACCUGUAACGUUGACUGCAUCAUUCCACAGCAAGUAGCUGGCACUAGCUCCAAAAGCAAGCUAAGCAAGACAACUGUAUGCAGCCAGCAAGCAAUCCAGGACCUGCUUUAACCUUCUUUUAACUGCUGUGGCCAUUCAACAGCGUGCUGCGUGUGACGUCUAUCUCGCAUGCGGGUCACUGCAUUCGUGACACUCGGACGGACUACCCCACUCACUCACUCACAGAGUUUCCUGCCUUUAUUGUGGGGUGACCAAAUACCUGCAAAAUGAAUGACAAUCCCGUCAGCCUAAGCCAAAGGGAAUUGGAAUGUGUCGUCAUCAACAGCAAGUCGGCCAUUUUUGGAGGAUAAGAGUGACACAGACAUCCGCUGGCUGUUUACUGUCAAAAUGUGUCAAAACGAACUGCUGAGCUAACAUGAAAACACUACACAGCGAAUAAGAACACAUCUCUUAAAUUACUUUUAUAGUAAAGAGAAAGAGAGCAAAAGAGAGGGGGGGGGAACUCAAGUGUCCCCUGCCCACUCUCAUGUUACCAUAGAACCACGUUCCCUCAAGAACAGACCUCAUUCUGUCCUUUCCAUUAACACUCAUCUGUGAUCAAGACUAUAAAAUAUCAAAUCAAAAAAAACCUUGUUGCUUAGAGAUAUACAUACCUUAUGUCAGUGCUGCCAACACAUAAGUCUAAUAGUAAGGACAUGAUGUUAGAAAAAGACAGUAAAGGUUAUCAAGAGCAAUGUGAAACAUUCUGACAUAGUGAAUGUUGUAAUUUCACAGGAACCUUUCUUAGUUAUGAAGCUACAAAUGUAAAAUGAAUAAUCUGUUUAAAUCACUACCCAAUGUAGAACUGAAAUAUCACAGACAGAUUGGUAUUUUCAUUUUAUUGCAUAUUGCAUAAUGACACAUUUUCAAUUAGAUAUCACAUGCAUUCCACAGAAGUGUCAUUUGCACAGCAUCAUGUUGUAUUCAUAUUCCACAGGAAUUUACCCACAGUCCAUAAAGAACUACAUAUACAUGUUUGCAUGCAUACUUUAACAGAAAGCUUACAUAUAUUUGGUGAUAGAUAAUUUAUUUUUAAUUUUUUUAGGCUAUGAGACAUAGUUUUCUUAAAAAAAUUGCAUUCUUUUGAUUACUAUGUUAACUACCACACUAAAAUGUAGUAUGUACUAGAAUAACAUAGGGAGCUCUGGAAAAUUUAACCAGUAGCUGAUAGUUAAUGCUUAAUGAUACACAAUACCAAUCUCUUCCAACCACUGUCCCGCAGUGUUGUUGAGUCACAUCAGCCCAUUUCAGCAACAAAGUUGAGCUAAUUCCAUUAAUUUAAAGUCAUCUUGGAGUCUGAACAAUUGCAGUUUGUCAAUGAGCCAGGUCGCCUGCAGCUGUCCACCUGUCUGAAGUGUUCAUCAGUCCUCCAACGUGAAAGCCAAAUGUUUAAAAAAA